rnacentral:rRNA from 1 species
GACGAACGCUGGCGGCGUGCCUAAUACAUGCAAGUAGGACGCAGUUGCGAACGGGUGAGUAACGCGUAGGUAACUGUCUAUUAGAGGGGGAUAACUCUUGGACACGAUAGCUAAUACCGCAUACUAGUACAUUGCCCUUCGUUGUAUUAGGUAGUAGGUAGGGUAAUGGCCUACCUAGGCAACGAUACAGAGCCGAACUGAGAGGGUGAUCGGCCACCCUGGGACUGAGAACAGGCCCAGACUCCUACGGGAGGGAGCAAGAGGGAAUCUUGGGCAAUGGGGGGAACCCUGACCGAGCAACGCCGCGUGAGGGAAGAAGGUUGUCGGAUCGUAAAGCUCUGUUGUUAAGGAAGCGGUACGUAAACAGAAAGGGACGGCUAACUACGUGCCAGCAGCCGCGGUAAUUC